AGAUGUAGUUGUAGUAAA
rnacentral:miRNA from 1 species